GAUGAACGCUGGCUACAGGCUUAACACAUGCAAGUCGAGGGGAAACGACGGGGAAGCUUGCUUCCCCGGGCGUCGACCGGCGCACGGGUGAGUAACGCGUAUCCAACCUGCCUCUGACUGAGGGAUAACCCGUCGAAAGUCGGCCUAAUACCUCAUGGCAUCGUCUGCGGGCAUCCAACGACGAUUAAAGAUUUCAUCGGUCAGAGAUGGGGAUGCGUCUGAUUAGCUUGUUGGCGGGGUAACGGCCCACCAAGGCGACGAUCAGUAGGGGUUCUGAGAGGAAGGUCCCCCACAUUGGAACUGAGACACGGUCCAAACUCCUACGGGAGGCAGCAGUGAGGAAUAUUGGUCAAUGGGCGAGAGCCUGAACCAGCCAAGUAGCGUGCAGGAUGACGGCCCUAUGGGUUGUAAACUGCUUUUAUGCGGGGAUAAAGUGAGGGACGUGUCCUUCAUUGCAUGUACCGCAUGAAUAAGGACCGGCUAAUUCCGUG
rnacentral:rRNA from 1 species